AACGAACGCUGGCGGCAUGCCUAACACAUGCGAGUCGAACGAGACCUUCGGGUCUAGUGGCGCACGGGUGCGUAACGCGUGGGAACCUGCCCUUAGGUUCGGAAUAACUCCCCGAAAGGGGUGCUAAUACCGGAUAAUGUCUUCGGACCAAAGAUUUAUCGCCUUUGGAUGGGCCCGCGUUGGAUUAGCUAGUUGGUAGGGUAAAAGCCUACCAAGGCGACGAUCCAUAGCUGGUCUGAGAGGAUGAUCAGCCACACUGGGACUGAGACACGGCCCAGACUCCUACGGGAGGCAGCAGUGGGGAAUAUUGGACAAUGGGCGAAAGCCUGAUCCAGCAAGGCCGCGGGAGUGAUGAAGGCCUUAGGGUUGUAAAGCUCUUUUACCCGGGAUGAUAAUGACAGGACCGGGAGAAUAAGCACCGGCUAACUCCGU
rnacentral:rRNA from 1 species